rnacentral:rRNA from 1 species
GACGAACGCUGGCGGCGUGCUUAACACAUGCAAGUCGAACGGAAAGGCCCUGCUUUUGUGGGGUGCUCGAGUGGCGAACGGGUGAGUAACACGUGAGUAACCUGCCCUUGACUUUGGGAUAACUUCAGGAAACUGGGGCUAAUACCGGAUAGGAGCUCCUGCUGCAUGGUGGGGGUUGGAAAGUUUCGGCGGUUGGGGAUGGACUCGCGGCUUAUCAGCUUGUUGGUGGGGUAGUGGCUUACCAAGGCUUUGACGGGUAGCCGGCCUGAGAGGGUGACCGGCCACAUUGGGACUGAGAUACGGCCCAGACUCCUACGGGAGGCAGCAGUGGGGAAUAUUGCACAAUGGGCGGAAGCCUGAUGCAGCAACGCCGCGUGCGGGAUGACGGCCUUCGGGUUGUAAACCGCUUUCGCCUGUGACGAAGCGUGAGUGACGGUAAUGGGUAAAGAAGCACCGGCUAACUACGUGCCAGCAGCCGCGGUGAUACGUAGGGUGCGAGCGUUGUCCGGAUUUAUUGGGCGUAAAGGGCUCGUAGGUGGUUGAUCGCGUCGGAAGUGUAAUCUUGGGGCUUAACCCUGAGCGUGCUUUCGAUACGGGUUGACUUGAGGAAGGUAGGGGAGAAUGGAAUUCCUGGUGGAGCGGUGGAAUGCGCAGAUAUCAGGAGGAACACCAGUGGCGAAGGCGGUUCUCUGGGCCUUUCCUGACGCUGAGGAGCGAAAGCGUGGGGAGCGAACAGGCUUAGAUACCCUGGUAGUCCACGCUGUAAACGGUGGGUACUAGGUGUGGGGUCCAUUCCACGGGUUCCGUGCCGUAGCUAACGCUUUAAGUACCCCGCCUGGGGAGUACGGCCGCAAGGCUAAAACUCAAAGGAAUUGACGGGGCCCCGCACAAGCGGCGGAGCAUGCGGAUUAAUUCGAUGCAACGCGUAGAACCUUACCUGGGUUUGACAUGGAUCGGGAGCGCUCAGAGAUGGGUGUGCCUCUUUUGGGGUCGGUUCACAGGUGGUGCAUGGCUGUCGUCAGCUCGUGUCGUGAGAUGUUGGGUUAAGUCCCGCAACGAGCGCAACCCUUGUUCACUGUCGCCAGCACGUUAUGGUGGGGACUCAGUGGAGACCGCCGGGGUCAACUCGGAGGAAGGUGGGGAUGACGUCAAGUCAUCAUGCCCCUUAUGUCCAGGGCUUCACGCAUGCUACAAUGGCUGGUACAGAGAGUGGCGAGCCUGUGAGGGUGAGCGAAUCUCGGAAAGCCGGUCUCAGUUCGGGUUGGGGUCUGCAACUCGACCUCAUGAAGUCGGAGUCGCUAGUAAUCGCAGAUCAGCAACGCUGCGGUGAAUACGUUCCCGGG